rnacentral:misc_RNA from 1 species
CUCUCCAUGCGAUCCGCUGCUCGGAAUAAAAAAGGGGAAGAGAUUUUAUUUUACUAAAGCGAAAGGCCACUUUUUGAAAUAGAAUUUCUUGGGGAAAGAUGUCGAACUUCAAAAGCGAGAGUUCGAAGGAUGAUCCCCUCUAUCCCAUUGCUGUCCUAAUUGACGAACUUCGGAAUGAGGAUGUUCACCUUCGUCUUACGUCCAUCAAAAAGCUCUCGACAAUCGCCUUGGCCUUGGGAGUGGAGAGAACCCGCUCGGAGCUGAUCCCCUUUUUGACAGACACGGUCUACGAUGAGGACGAGAUUCUGUUGGCCCUCGCGGAGCAACUGGGGACUUUCACGCCCGUGGUGGGAGGGCCCGACUAUGUGAACUGUCUCCUUCCGCCCUUGGAGUGCUUGGCCAUCGUGGAAGAGACGAUCGUGAGGGAUAAAGCCGUUGAAUCACUACGACACAUCGCAGAUCAACAUUCCCCCAUGGACUUGGAAACGUAUUUCGUUCCUCUGGUCAAAAGACUGGCGGUGGGAGAUUGGUUCACUUCCAGGACAAGUGCCUGUGGCCUCUUCUCCGUUUGCUACUCGCGCUCUUCACCUGCAGUCAAAGCCGAACUCAGAACUUUGUUCCGUAGUUUAUGUCAGGAUGAUACUCCCAUGGUACGUCGCGCUGCAUCAUCCAAGUUAGGGGAAUUUGCUAAAGUUGUUGAAGUAGAAUAUCUCAAAUCUGAUCUGAUCCCUAUGUUUGUUAAUUUAGCUAAGGACGAGCAGGAUUCUGUUCGCCUUCUCUCUGUGGAUGCCUGCGUAUCAAUUUCAUCUCUCCUUCAAACUGAAGAUGUUGAACAACUUGUAAUGCCAACUCUGAAACAUACUGCUGAAGACAAGUCUUGGAGAGUACGAUUUAUGGUUGCCGAUAAAUUUACCGACUUACAAAAAGCUGUGGGACCAGAAAUCACUAAAGCCGACCUUGUUCCGGCGUUCCAAAAAUUGUUAAAGGAUUCAGAAUCUGAAGUGAGAGCAGCAGCAGCUCAUAAAGUAAGGAACUUUUGUCAAGAUUUGGAUCCAUCUGUUCAAGAAACAGUCAUCAUGAACAGCAUUUUACCAUGUGUUAAAGAACUAGUAGGAGACGCUAAUCAGCAUGUUAAGUCUGCUUUAGCAUCAGUUAUUAUGGGUUUAUCGCCCAUUCUUGGAAAAAACAAUGUUCCCUUCAAUUUCAGCACAAUUGAAUAUCUUCUUCCUCUGUUUUUGACCCAAUUGAAAGACGAAUGUUCAGAAGUUCGAUUAAACAUAAUUUCCAACUUGGAUUGCGUGAAUGAAGUUAUAGGAAUUCAACAGCUAUCAAAAUCUCUGUUGCCUGCCAUUGUAGAACUAGCCGAAGAUGCUAAAUGGCGCGUUAGGUUAGCUAUUAUUGAAUACAUGCCUCUCCUAGCGGGUCAGUUGGGUGUCGAGUUUUUCGAUGAACAACUAAAUGCACUUUGCAUGACUUGGCUUGUAGAUCAUGUAUUUGCCAUUAGAGAAGCAGCAACGAAUAACCUUAAGAAAUUGGUUGAAAAAUUUGGAACUGAUUGGGCUCAACAAACAAUUAUCCCUAAAGUCAUCGCAAUGUCUAGAGAUCAAAAUUACUUGCAUAGAAUGACUUGUUUAUUUUGUAUUAAUGUAUUGGCGGAAGCUUGUGGGACAGAAAUUACCGAAAAGCUUAUGCUUCCAACAGUUUUAAGCAUGGCCUCAGAUACGGUCGCCAAUGUUCGAUUCAACGUUGCUAAAACAUUAAGUAUUCUUGGGCCUAAACUUAAUACCUCGACAGUUUCGAGUCAAGUGAAACCAACAUUGAAUCAGUUACAUGAGGAUAAUGAUUUCGACGUCCGAUUUUUUGCAUCCGAAGCGUACGCUGUUCUGGUUUGAGAGGUUGCUCUUGUUAAAUUGGAUUAAUCAAUGAAAAAAUACAUCUAGCAAUAUUUUGCAUAAAUAGAAUUACUUUACCUGGAAAGCUUAGUAAAAAGAAGAAAAAAUCAAAUAACAUUAACUAUAGUAAUAUCAUUUCUAUUCUAUGUUGAAUAUUUAUAAUUGAGGAAAGAGAACGAAAAAGAAAACUAUGUUAUGUAUUUGUGAUAAACUGAACGGCGUAUAUGGCUAUUAAACAGGUUCUAACGGA